CAUGUAAAAGGGCACUGGGUCCAGGGAGGGACACGGGGGCCUGAAGACAGGUGGAUCACCAGCUUGCAGAGGGCGCUUCGAACCCUGGACUGAGCUAAUUCCCAGAAGCACCAGCAGGAGGCACCGCAGGGGUGAGUCCAACCCAUCUACACAGCCCCUCAUAGACAAAUCCAGGCCCUCAAAACAUACCCACACCCAGUCAUGAAGCAGUAAGUCCAAAGGCUAGUACUGCUGAUUUGUGCCAAGGUUUUUGAUGACAGCAGCCUCCUCUCAGGCCUCAGAAAGGACAGUAGUCCCGAGAAGGUGCACUGGUCUUAGGCCUGAAAAAAGGCCUUUAAGAAAUUGAAAGAGCACUUGUGUAAAGAGCUUGUCCUUUUCAGUCCUGACUUCUCAAAAGAGUUCGUUUUACAAAUUGAUGCCUCAGAAGUGGGACUAGGUGCAGUACUGUCCCAGGAGACAAAUGGAAAGGAACACCCUGUACUCUAUUUGAGCUGCAAACUGUCCUGUUGGGAGCAGCUCUAUUCCGUGAUAGGAAAGAAAGGUAUUACCUCCUUGGAAAUCCAUUCAAGCUCAUCGCCAAUCAUGCUCCCUUAAUGUAGUUAAAUGCCAUGAAGGACACAACCCCCCAGGUUAUGUGCUGGUGAAUGUCUCCCCAGGUGACAGCUUGAGAGGGUGUGCAAGUGAUGGGGUUUACAAACCCCACACUGGACAACAAGGGGGUUAAGGAGUUGCUCUGGGCUCAGUCUGCCCCACCACACCACACCUUCAAGGCAUGCACAGGCUGGAGAAGGAGUUAAAAGAGAAGCAGAACAACUCACUUGUGAGCAGACAUAGGAAGAGAACAGACCUUCAACCCUCAGUUCCGGAAGAAAGGGCUGAAGGAAGGCAGGAUCUUCCUCGAUAGCAAAUGCCUGAGCCUGGAAGGGGAGAGACUUGGAAGUGACCUGGCCAGAGGGCAAGUCAUAAGAAGAGAUAGGACACCACAGACCUGGAACAGCCAGUGGAGGGAGAGCUACCAUGCUUGGCCAUGAGGAGGCACCAGUGAGGUUCUUAGCAAUAUUCAUGUAAAUGUCCAACCCAACACUGUGAUGGUAUGGAUAGAUGUUGCCCAUUGACAGUCAAUGAUGGAUCCCAGCCCUCACUGAAGAGAUUGGCAAGGAUGUGAACCCAUGAAGUGGAGAACAAUGCUGAACUCAACAGGAAGAAUUUUUCCUAUGAGGAAACUGUAAGAAGAGCAAGUUGGGCUGUUAAAAUCGAUUUCGGAACUCCUCCCCCGACGAGGUGAUUAGCGCUGAAAUCAACCUUGCUGGGUCGAAUUUGGGGUCGUGUGGUCGCAAUUUGACGG